AACGAACGCUGGCGGCAGGCUUAACACAUGCAAGUCGAACGGGUGCAGCAAUGCAUCAGUGGCAGACGGGUGAGUAACACAUGGGAACCUUCCUAGGGGUACGGAACAACUCAGGGAAACUUGAGCUAAUACCGUAUACGUCCGUGAGGAGAAAGAUUUAUCGCCCUUAGACGGGCCCGCGUCGGAUUAGCUAGUUGGUGGGGUAACGGCCUACAAAGGCGACGAUCCGUAGCUGAUCUUAGAGGAUGAUCAGCCACACUGGGACUGAGACACGGCCCAGACUCCUACGGGAGGCAGCAGUGAGGAAUCUUGGACAAUGGGCGCAAGCCUGAUCCAGCCAUGCCGCGUGAGUGAAGAAGGUCUUCGGAUUGUAAAGCUCUUUUGCCAGGGACGAUAAUGACGGUACCUGGAGAAUAAGCCCCGGCAAACUUCGUGCCAGCCGCCGCAGUAA
rnacentral:rRNA from 1 species